rnacentral:rRNA from 1 species
UACGUAGGGGGCAAGCGUUUGUCCGGAAUCAUUGGGCGUAAAGAGCGUGUAGGCGGCCCGAUAAGUCCGCCGUGAAAUCCCAGGGCUCAACCCUGGAACUGCCUUUGAUACUGUCGAUCUGGAGUAUGGAAGAGGUGAGUGGAAUUCCGAGUGUAGAGGUGAAAUUCGUAGAUAUUCGGAGGAACACCAGUGGCGAAGGCGGCUCACUGGUCCAUUACUGACGCUGAGGUGCGAAAGCGUGGGGAGCAAACAGGG